ACCUUUUAUAUGCACCGGCCAGACUGUUGAUUACCAAAUUAAGAUGUAGUUUUCCUGGUGUUAUGUCUUAACCUGCCCAGGGCUACGAUAACUUGUCAGUUUUAUAUUUCAACAAUUUUAAAAAGGUAAAGAGUAUGAAUAAAUACUCUCCAAGACAUUGAAUAAUUUAGUCUUUUAAAACAAUAGCCUAGCACCCUUUUUGAAAUUACAUUACAAAUUCCUUCAUUUCUUCACGAAAAAAAACAAUAAAAAAAGGUAUUUUACUAUCCUCGGAAACUUUUGAAUGUUAUGAAUUGUAAUGCAAAAAUAGGUGUUUGAACACAUAUGCUUGUUUCUUAUUGGUAAUAUCAGACGUUUUUGCUGACAAAUAUACAGAUUUAAAACAAAAAUUGAUGGACACAGAGCUAACAAAA
rnacentral:lncRNA from 1 species